GAUGAACGCUGGCGGCGUGCCUAAUACAUGCAAGUCGAGCGAACAGACGAGGAGCUUGCUCCUCUGACGUUAGCGGCGGACGGGUGAGUAACACGUGGAUAACCUACCUAUAAGACUGGGAUAACUUCGGGAAACCGGAGCUAAUACCGGAUAAUAUAUUGAACCGCAUGGUUCAAUAGUGAAAGACGGUUUUGCUGUCACUUAUAGAUGGAUCCGCGCCGCAUUAGCUAGUUGGUAAGGUAACGGCUUACCAAGGCGACGAUGCGUAGCCGACCUGAGAGGGUGAUCGGCCACACGGGAACUGAGACACGGUCCAGACUCCUACGGGAGGCAGCAGUAGGGAAUCUUACGCAAUGGGCGAAAGCCUGACGGAGCAACGCCGCGUGAGUGAUGAAGGUCUUCGGAUCGUAAAACUCUGUUAUUAGGGAAGAACAAAUGUGUAAGUAACUAUGCACGUCUUGACGGUACCUAAUCAGAAAGCCACGGCUAACUACGUG
rnacentral:rRNA from 1 species